rnacentral:misc_RNA from 1 species
GAGGCCUCAAAGCUCCUUGAACUAUCUCCUGAACGUUUCUAUUUCGUCGACAUACGUCUGAGAGCUCUUCUAUUGGUACAGCAAGCGUAUUUAUAUCGCAUCCUGAGGCUGCAUCUGAUAACGCUUUUAGAAAUCUUGACCGCUCUUUUUCAGUAACAGCCGUCGAUGGAAUCAAUGAAACACUUUCCUUGGCCCACUCUAAC